rnacentral:rRNA from 1 species
UACGAAGGGGGCUAGCGUUGCUCGGAAUUACUGGGCGUAAAGGGCGCGUAGGCGGAUAGUUUAGUCAGAGGUGAAAAGCCCAGGGCUCAACCCUGGAACUGCCGGUGGAAACUGUCGGGCUGGAGUCCGGAAGAGGCGAGUGGAAUUCCUGGUGUAGCGGUGAAAUGCGCAGAUAUCAGGAGGAACACCAAUGGCGGAAGGCAGCUCGCUGGGACGGUACUGACGCUGAGACGCGGAAAGCGUGGGGAGCAAACAGG